CUCUGGAAGAGGUGGAGUUUAAAGCACUGAUAUCUGAUGUGACCUUAAACUUCAAGUCUGUUAGAGAGAGCAUAAGAAACACACACAAUGAUUCUCCAUUCUGUCAUUCUGCUUUCUGCCUUUGUGUAUGCAACAUAUGGAAAUGAAAUCAAACCAACCAAAACAGAGAAGUUUGCUGAUGAGGGUUCAAGUGUUAAAUUAUCCUGCAGUUAUUCAUCUGCAGACUAUCUUCACUGGUACCGUCAGUAUCCCGGAUCAGCUCCUGAGUUCAUUGUGCUCAUCUCAGAUGGUGUAAAACAAGCUCAGGAGUCUUAUGUAGAUUCCAGAUUCACUGCCAAAGUCACCAAAGACAAAGAAAACCAUGUGGAUCUGGAGAUCUCCUCUGCAUCUAUAUCAGACUCUGCUCUGUACUACUGCGCUCUGGAGCCCACAGUGACAGGAAACACAAGAACACUGUGUGAUGACUGCAGACCAGAUUAG